rnacentral:misc_RNA from 1 species
UUUUUUCCUUAUGGCUAUUUUCACUUGGAAUUGCAGAGGUGCAGUCGGUGCUAGCUUUAGUCGAGCUCUUAAGUUGUAUAUCCAAAGAUACAAUCCGGCAAUUGCUUUUAUGUUUAAACCUCGAAUCAGUGGUAUGAUGACUGACCAAGUGAUUAAAAAGAUUGGGUUUCCUUUCUCUCACCGUGUGGAGGCAUCGAGAUUUUCAGGAGGAAUAGGGGUAUUCAAGAGGAAUCUAGGUUUUGUGGAUAAGGGGUUGGUCAGUGCAGGUGCUGGC